CAGAAGGAGCCAGAAUUCGGCAAAGGAUUCUUUCCAAAGCCGGAUAAAAGGAGGUUCCGGUCUGAUGAACAUGAUAAGCAUCAGACUCCAAAGGGAAGGACACCUCGGGCACCAAAAAAGGAAGGUGGCCGACAAAGCUAAGUGAAUCAUGUGAUUCACAGCAAGGAUCGCACCCACAAAAGAAACGACAAAAGUGGGUGGAAGAACAGGAGGACCACUCACCAAAAGCUCCAGGACAAAAGUGAGUGGAAAGAAAAGCAGCCGGCCCCUACCAGCAUUAUCACAAGGCGAUAAAGCAAGGGUCCAGCACCAUGUGAUGCCACUAACAAGUGUCGGCAAUCAAGGCCGACAAAAGAAGGUGGAUGUCAUAUUCAAG
rnacentral:lncRNA from 1 species